rnacentral:lncRNA from 1 species
UCAAGCAGUGGUACCGCCCUAUUAGGCGAUGGUACCGCCCUGUCAAGCGAUGGUACCAUUAGAGCCUAGUCUCCGAGGCUUUGUCAAGUGGUAGUACCGCCAAACUGGGUGAUGGUACCACCUAGUGUUAGAGUGUCAGACGGUAGUACCACCCAAUACUGACGGUGGUACCGCUAGUACCCCGAAAACCCGGAAUAAGAUACUUUUAGGCUUCAAUUUUGAAGCCAUUGGGGCCUAUAAAUACCUCAUUCCUUUCUGCAUGAAAGUAUAUCAAACUGUGAACAAAAUCUUGAAGUGUUGGAGUAUGAAAAAAUUGUAAAAGUGCUAAGUGUUCUCCUCCCUCUCUAAGUUUUAUGAUCAUUCAAGUGAGGUGUGAAGCUGGUAAGAGUUCUCUCCUAAACCCGUGAAAAUGAGAAAGUAUUGUUAGAGGGUGCUUGGUCUUCGCCCAUUGAAGG